rnacentral:rRNA from 1 species
CUACGGGAGGCAGCAGUGGGGAAUAUUGGACAAUGGGGGAAACCCUGAUCCAGCAAUGCCGCGUGUGUGAAGAAGGCCUGCGGGUUGUAAAGCACUUUCGGUUGGGAGGACUGCUUCUAGCACUAAUAUUGUUGGAAGUUGACGUUACCUUCAGAAGAAGCACCGGCUAACUCCGUGCCAGCAGCCGCGGUAAUACGGGGGGUGCAAGCGUUAAUCGGAAUUACUGGGCGUAAAGCGCGCGUAGGCGGCUAGAUCAGUCGGGUGUGAAAGCCCCGGGCUUAACCUGGGAACUGCAUCCGAUACUGUCUAGCUUGAGUACAGGAGAGGAGAGUGGAAUUCCACAUGUAGCGGUGAAAUGCGUAGAUAUGUGGAGGAACACCAAUGGCGAAGGCAGCUCUCUGGCCUGAUACUGACGCUGAGGUGCGAAAGCGUGGGGAGCAAACAGGAUUAGAUACCCCUGUAGUC